rnacentral:rRNA from 1 species
UACGGAGGGUGCAAGCGUUAUCCGGAUUCACUGGGUUUAAAGGGUGCGUAGGCGGGCAGGUAAGUCAGUGGUGAAAUCCUGGAGCUUAACUCCAGAACUGCCAUUGAUACUAUCUGUCUUGAAUAUUGUGGAGGUAAGCGGAAUAUGUCAUGUAGCGGUGAAAUGCUUAGAUAUGACAUAGAACACCUAUUGCGAAGGCAGCUUACUACGCAUAUAUUGACGCUGAUGCACGAAAGCGUGGGGAUCAAACAGG